GUAAUUAAAGUGUUGCAGUUAAAAAGCUCGUAGUUGAACCUUGGGUCUGGCUGGCCGGUCCGCCUCACCGCGAGUACUGGUCCGGCUGGACCUUUCCUUCUGGGGAAUCCCAUGGCCUUCACUGGCUGUGGGGGGAACCAGGACUUUUACUGUGAAAAAAUUAGAGUGUUCAAAGCCAGGCCUUUGCUCGAAUACAUUAGCAUGGAAUAAUAGAAUAGGACGUGCGGUUCUAUUUUGUUGGUUUCUAGGACCGCCGUAAUGAUUAAUAGGGAUAGUCGGGGGCGUCAGUAUUCAGCUGUCAGAGGUGAAAUUCUUGGAUUUGCUGAAGACUAACUACUGCGAAAGCAUUCGCCAAGGAUGUUUUCAUUAAUCAGGGAACGAAAGUUAGGGGAUCGAAGACGAUCAGAUACCGUC
rnacentral:rRNA from 1 species